rnacentral:rRNA from 1 species
AUUGAACGCUGGCGGCAGGCUUAACACAUGCAAGUCGAGCGAGCGGCGGACGGGUGAGUAAUGUCUGGGAAACUGCCUGAUGGAGGGGGAUAAGUACUGGAAACGGUAGCUAAUACCGCAUACCAUCAGUUGUGCCCAGAUGGGAUUAGUGAGUAGGUGGGGUAAUGGCUCACCUAGGCGACGAUCCAUAGCUGGGCAGAGAGGAUGACAGGCCACACGGGAUGUCGGGCGAGGACCGGACUCCUACAGGAGGCAGCAGUGGUGAAUAGUUAACAGUGGGCGCAAGGCUGAUGCAGCCAUGCGGCGGGUAUGAAGAAGGCCUUGGGGUUGUAAAGUACUGUCAGCGAGGGGGCGUUACCCGAAGAAGAAGGACCGGCUAACUCCGUGCCAGCAGCCGCGGUAAUAC